GAUGAACGCUGGCGGCGUGCCUAAUACAUGCAAGUCGAGCGAACCACUUCGGUGGUGAGCGGCGAACGGGUGAGUAACACGUAGGUGAUCUGCCCAUCAGACGGGGACAACGAUUGGAAACGAUCGCUAAUACCGGAUAGGACGAAAGUUAAAGGUGCUUCUGGCACCGCUGAUGGAUGAGCCUGCGGCGCAUUAGCUAGUUGGUAGGGUAAAGGCCUACCAAGGCGACGAUGCGUAGCCGACCUGAGAGGGUGAACGGCCACACUGGGACUGAGACACGGCCCAGACUCCUACGGGAGGCAGCAGUAGGGAAUCUUCGGCAAUGGGCGAAAGCCUGACCGAGCAACGCCGCGUGAAUGAUGAAGGCCUUCGGGUUGUAAAAUUCUGUUAUAAGGGAAGAACGACUUUAGUAGGAAAUGGCUAAAGUGUGACGGUACCUUAUGAGAAAGCCACGGCUAACUACGUGCCAGCCGCCGCCGUAACAC
rnacentral:rRNA from 1 species